CUUCCUGCAUCUCAGGCCUUCCUGCGGCCUCGGCCUCCUCCCCCGCCCUCUUCCCCUCCAUCCUCUUCCCCUUCUUCCCCUUCUCCCACUCUCUCCGGUUGGCCUGGCCGAGCUGGUGGAGGGAGCCCUCCUACCCUUCCAUUCUCGGUGUGUGGGUUUUGUGGGACACUAACCCAUAGCACGUGCAAAAGAGCUCGGUCCGUUAGGUGAAAUUCUGGUAUGUAAGCAUUUCUGUCCAUGGCUCCUCCAAAUCUUUCUGAAUCAUUUCUUUUUGCUGUGGUGAUGAGUGAACCCAGGACCCCAAGCGUGCCAGCCGAUGAAAGAGAGCGGCGGAAUUUGAGUAUCGCCAGUUUGCAAGACAGAGCAACAGAAGCUGUAAUGCUGAGGGCACAUGCUAAGCCCCCAAAUGAAGAGCCUGCACAUCUAUAAAGUGGGCUUGUAGAAGAAAGAACCUCGAUGUGACCCAGUCUCUAGAACCAACUAAACUACAGAAGAUGACAGUGUCCAGAGAACUCCAUUUAUGGAUGAUGAAGGGGUGGGAGGGCAGAACCCCAGAGAGAUGCUCUCAGCAAAUCCAGAGUGGUGAGCAAUUGCAGAACUGACCUGGCUUCUUCCUAGGAGAGAGGGAGGGAGGGAGGAGAGGAUGGAGGGAUGCAAGGGAGGAAAAGAGGAAGAGAUGAUGAAAAGCCUCUAAAAAUGCAAAAGUAUUUAGGUCUACCAACCUGUUAAAGUGUAUCCACGUAUUUGGAUCCUGACAAAAACAAAUACUUUGCUUUUAAAAAGAACAACUGAAGGGGGUUGGAGGGAUGGC